UAUAUAAUAAAAAAAAAAUUUAUUGAUUCAUAUCAUAAAAGAAGUACAAGAAGGGAUAGAAUAUAAAAUUGCUCUAUUGUUAUAAGACUUCCUCUCUCCUCCCGAGACUAAUGGAUUUAGCCGCUCAUGGGUUGGCUCUCGUUGGUUGGUAGCUCCAUCUUCUUAGCAUAAUCUCCAUAUAUCACCUUGAAAACCCUCCAACCUCAUAGCCUUCUCUCUUAUUCUCUUAUUUUUCUCUCAAUCUUUUCUCCUCUCAAUCCUCUUUACAAAAUUUCUCUAUGAUUUU
rnacentral:lncRNA from 1 species